GACGAACGCUGGCGGCGUGCUUAACACAUGCAAGUCGAACGGAAAGGCCCUGCUUGCAGGGUACUCGAGUGGCGAACGGGUGAGUAACACGUGGGUGAUCUGCCCUGCACUUCGGGAUAAGCCUGGGGAACUGGGUCUAAUACCGGAUAGGAGCCAUUUUUAGUGUGAUGGUUGGAAAGUUUUUUUCGGUGUAGGAUGAGCUCGCGGCCUAUCAGCUUGUUGGUGGGGUAAUGGCCUACCAAGGCGGCGACGGGUAGCCGGCCUGAGAGGGUGGACGGCCACACUGGGACUGAGAGACGGCACAGACGCCGACGGGAGGCAGAAGUGGGGAAGAUUGCACCAUGGGCGCCAGCCUGAUGCAGCGACGCCGCGGGGGGGAUGACGGCCUUCGGGUUGUAAACUCCUUUCGCUAGGGACGAAGCUUUUUGUGACGGUACCUAGAUAAGAAGCACCGGCUAACUACGUG
rnacentral:rRNA from 1 species